CUACUCCUAGCAACACGCCAGCUACAGGUGGUGCUAGGGCUAGCAACAAGUGUGAGGGCAUACUAGAACAAUUCAAGGGGGGUCCUUGGUGUGUUUUAAUAAAUGAUGUUACUAAAUUAAAGUACAUUGUAUGUAUCCAAGAAAUGAAAUUUUAAGAACAAUUUUGUAGUCACUUAGUUUUCUUUUUCCAAAGAGUUUCACUCUCAAAAUGGUUUUUCUCAUUCUAUUGUUUGUUCUGCAAGUGAAAAAUUAGCCAUUUUAUGUAAUAAAAUUUAUUUGUGUUCAAGAUAAGACACGAAUGAAAUAAACAGUGAUAGAAAGAAGUGGUUUUUGUUCAGUUUGUUAAAGGGGCAAGCUUUUGUUUACAUUUUGAAUGUUGAAGUUAAAUUCCAGUUUUAGACCUGAAAUGAUUGUUUUAAACGUUAGAAACUGUUUAUUUAUGAUUAAAAUGAAAAAGAAGAUAGAC
rnacentral:misc_RNA from 1 species